UCCCAUAAUUCUGCAUCAUUCCAGCCGUGCACCAAUAUCCCCACCGGAUCUGUCACCCCAGAAUCUAUCUCUAAAACAACAUUGAGGUGUCGGUCGUUAUUUUUCGCUGCAGCAGCUUUUAGGGGUUAUUAUGUCUGUAGUUAUCACUGUACAGUUACGAUCAUUGGACUCUUCAUAGUAGAUUUAUAUUGAUACUAAUUAUUUUUCCGAAUAAAAUCCCCUGGAUCAAUAUACUCUGAGCCCAGAAGACAUUAUAACACUAUAAUAGCACUAGUGAUGCAGCUGCUCUCACGUUAUUACAUGGUGGCGCCAUCUAGUGGCCGCUUGUAUUAUCACAGCCUCGACCAGUCUGACGCUCCUUAUACUAGACUGAAGUGAGAACUCUGCUGCCAUCUAGCGGCGGACUCGCGCUUUUCCCUUUUGACCCCGCUGACGUCCCGUAGACGGCUACUUAAAGCCUUGUGCUCGCUCGUGUGUUCUCUUUCUCUGCUGACUGCGCGGCAGGGAGGUCGGCUGUGGCCCCGGAGCGGACACGUGGCCCCAGACCCUCUUGCAGGUUGGAUACAAGUCUCUGGAGCCUCGGCCGGGCAGGAUGAGUGCAGCGUCCCUGGAGCCUCUGCUUGUCAGGAUGUCGGGCAUUGGACCAGGAGGUGUCGGGUAUUGGACGUGAGUUUAGUCCUCCGCUCUGGGUGGGCUUUUCCCUGGAACUCAUGGAGCAGAUGCGCCCCCUUGUGGUGUACAUUGUAUGUCUAAUAUUCACAGGGUGGAGGGGUACGUCUAGAAAUCCCUCCAUUAACACCUAUAUAGUUAAAGGGAUUGUCUGAGAUCUUAUUGAUGAUCUAUCCUCAGGAUAGGUCAUCAGUAUGUGACAGGUGGGGGUCUGCACCCAGCACCCUUGCCAAACAAGUGUUUGAAAAGACCAGGGCCCCUUCCUAGGCCAUGUGACAUCACGUUCAUCAGUCAUAUGGCUCAUGGCCAAGUGAAUGGGGCUGCGCCGCAAUACCAAGCACAGGUACCAUACAAGGGGUUGUGCUGUAAGGUCGCCAUGGCACCCCUUAUCAAACAGAUGAUUGGCAGGGAUCCCGGGUGUUGGACACCCACUGAUCUAAUAUUGAUGACUUGUCCUGUGGAGAGGUCCUCAAUAUCAAAAUCUCAGAAAAUCCAUUUAAAUGAUGAACCUCUGCUUCCAGCUGCCUUAGGAGCUGUAUAUAGUGAGCUCCCUCUAGUGGAGGCUGUAUAAUGUGUAUGUAGUGAGCUCCCUCUAGUGGUGGCUGUAUGAUCUGUAUGUAGUGAGCUCCCUCUAGUGGUGGCUGU